CGGCGGACGGGUGAGUAACGCGUGGGUAACCUGCCUCAUACAGGGGGAUAACAGUUGGAAACGGCUGCUAAUACCGCAUAAGCGCACAGUACCGCAUGGUACGGUGUGAAAAACUCCGGUGGUAUAAGAUGGACCCGCGUUGGAUUAGCUAGUUGGUGAGGUAACGGCCCACCAAGGCAACGAUCCAUAGCCGACCUGAGAGGGUGACCGGCCACAUUGGGACUGAGACACGGCCCAA
rnacentral:rRNA from 1 species